UACGGAGGGUGCAAGCAUUAAUCGGAUUUAUUGGGCGUAAAGGGCGCGUAGGCGGGAAUGUAAGUCGGAUGUGAAAUCCCGGGGCUCAACCUCGGACCCGCAUUCGAAACUGCAAUUCUAGAGGAUAAGCGGAGAAAAUGGAAUUCCACGUGUAGCGGUGAAAUGCGUAGAUAUGUGGAAGAACACCUGUGGCGUAGGCGAUUUUCUAGCUUAUAUCUGACGCUAAUGCGCGAAAGCGAGGGGAGCAAACAGG
rnacentral:rRNA from 1 species